GACGAACGCUGGCGGCGUGCCUAAUACAUGCAAGUAGAACGCACAGUUUAUACCGUAGCUUGCUCCACCAUAGACUGUGAGUUGCGAACGGGUGAGUAACGCGUAGGUAACCUGCCUGGUAGCGGGGGAUAACUAUUGGAAACGAUAGCUAAUACCGCAUAAUAUUGAUUAUUGCAUGAUAAUUAAUUGAAAGGUGCAAUUGCACCACUACCAGAUGGACCUGCGUUGUAUUAGCUAGUAGGUGAGGUAACGGCUCACCUAGGCGACGAUACAUAGCCGACCUGGGAGGGAGAUCGGCCACACUGGGACUGAGACACGGCCCAGACUCCUACGGGAGGCAGCAGUAGGGAAUCUUCGGCAAUGGACGAAAGUCUGACCGAGCAACGCCGCGUGAGUGAAGAAGGUUUUCGGAUCGUAAAGCUCUGUUGUAAGAGAAGAACGGGUGUGAGAGUGGAAAGUUCACACUGUGACGGUAUCUUACCAGAAAGGGACGGCUAACUACGUG
rnacentral:rRNA from 1 species